GUUGCAUGGGCGCUGUGUGUUGCAAACUGAUUGCCUUACAUCCUCUGCUGCUUCACAACUGCGGUGAGUUCCGUUUCGAGAUCUGGAAACAACCAUAAUCUUCCCAACUGCGGCUCUCUGCUUGCUGAUCUGGAAACUGCCUUAGCUUUCAAAACUGUCGUUUCGGUUUGCAUCGGAAGCAUUUCACCGUCUGGAUUCGUGUCGGUACAGACUCUUCGAUGAGUUGUGGGAUGUGAUGAAUGGUGCUUCCUUGGAAGAUUUGUGUGAGUUUUAUCUGGGUGGGAAUAGUUUGAGAUCAAAAAUAGAUUCAAAUCGAGAUCUCUCUCUCCCUCUAUGUAUAUAUAUAUAAAUAUAUAUACACAUAUAUAUAUAAAUAUAUAUAUACACAUAUAUAUAUAAAUAUAUAUAUACACAUAUAUAUAUAUAUAUAGAUAUAUAUAUAUAUACAUAUGUGUAUUCUUUUUUGCAAAACCGUGAUUUUCCUUAUUAUUUUGGACACUUCAUGAUGCUAGACUUAUUGAAUGACAAAUAGUUUUAAAGCAAGUGUUAGAAUUGAUGAAAAAAUUACACAUAAUCUAUAAACUUCACAUGGGUGCACAACUGCAGAAGUAAUUUCGUGGUUAGACUACAUGAAAUAACUCACUAAAUCAUUAAUGUUCUUGAUUUUAAUGUUUGAAAAUAAAUAAAUAA
rnacentral:lncRNA from 1 species